rnacentral:sRNA from 1 species
AUAGUUUAGGGUUUAGGGUUUAU